rnacentral:rRNA from 1 species
GAGUGGCGGACGGGUGAGUAAUACAUCGGAACGUGUCCAGUAAUGGGGGAUAGCCUAGCGAAAGUUAGGCUAAUACCGCAUACGAUCUGCGGCACUAAAGGCUUUUGGCGAAGGUGGCCAAAGGGCGUUAUUGGAGCGGCUGAUGUCUGAUUAGCUAGUUGGUGAGGUAAAGGCUUACCAAGGCGACGAUCAGUAGCUGGUCUGAGAGGACGGCCAGCCACACUGGGACUGAGACACGGCCCAGACUCCUACGGGAGGCAGCAGUGGGGAAUUUUGGACAAUGGGGGCAACCCUGAUCCAGCCAUGCCGCGUGAGUGAAGAAGGCCUUCGGGUUGUAAAGCUCUUUCGGCCGGAACGAAACGGUGGAUGCUAACACCAUCCAUUACUGACGGUACCGGAAGAAGAAGCACCGGCUAACUACGUGCCAGCAGCCGCGGUGAUACGUAGGGUGCGAGCGUUAAUCGGAAUUACUGGGCGUAAAGCGUGCGCAGGCGGUGGCUCAAGUCAGAUGUGAAAUCCCUAGGCUUAACCUGGGAAUUGCAUUUGAAACUAGGUCGCUAGAGUUUGGCAGAGGGGGGUGGAAUUCCACGUGUAGCAGUGAAAUGCGUAGAGAUGUGGAGGAACACCGAUGGCGAAGGCAGCCCCCUGGGCUAAAAC